AACGUAGGUGGCGAGCGUUGUCCGGAAUCACUGGGCGUAAAGGGCGCGUAGGUGGCCCCUUAAGUGUGUGGUGAAAGCCCGGGGCUCAACCCCGGGUCGGCCGUGCCGAACUGCUGGACUGGAGCUUGUCAGAGGCAGGCGGAAGUUCCGGGUGUAGCGGUGGAAUGCGUAGAGAUCCGGAAGAACACCGGUGGCGAAGGCGGCCUGCUGGGACAGUGCUGACGCUGAAGCGCGACAGCGUGGGGAGCAAACAGG
rnacentral:rRNA from 1 species